UACGAAGGGGGCUAGCGUUGCUCGGAAUGACUGGGCGUAAAGGGCGCGUAGGCGGAUUGCUUUGUCGGGCGUGAAAUUCCAGGGCUUAACCUUGGGGCUGCGUUCGAGACGGGUGAUCUUGAGUUCGGAAGAGGGUCGUGGAAUUCCCAGUGUAGAGGUGAAAUUCGUAGAUAUUGGGAAGAACACCGGUGGCGAAGGCGGUCUGCUGGGCCAAGACUGACGCUGAGGCGCGACAGCGUGGGGAGCAAACAGG
rnacentral:rRNA from 1 species